GCACACCUCUGCCCUGUGCACUCCCUCGGGAGGCCCGCUGAAUGUGGCAGCCCCUCUAGAGUUCCCGCAGGCCGGGGUGAGGGCCACGAGCACGUACUGGUGGACAGACUUCACUAAGAAGUUGGCUUUACCUUGUAUUUCUCCUCACUGCUUCUGUCUUCUGUCCCAUCCCCUGACCCAGUGAGCAAGCAGGGGGAGAGGGAGCUAAGAUCAUUGACCCUCAAGUCCGCACUCUCUAAAACAUCUGCUGCCUUGUGCCUUGUCCACACUCACGUGGGGCGGGGGCCAGGCAAGGGGCCGGGCUCUGUGCCUGCAGCCCUACCCACCUGCCCCCAGCCCCCCAGCACUAUCUCUACUUCCUAUAGCACCUUCCUGCCUGGGUCCCACUCACAGGCCUGGGCCCCACCUUGGAAGGGACCCUGCCUUUGUAACUAUGCUUGGAGGGGACCCACCUUUGUGACUAUGUGUCAGCUCUGUGAGGGAAGACCACACGCAUGUCAUGAUUGGCAGUGCCCAGCACAGGGCCGGUUUGCUGGGCUGCAGCAGAAUGAAAGCGCCCUCGCCUGGCAGCCCCCGCCCUCCCCCCCCCCCCCCCGCCACCUCCUUGGCAGUUGGAAAGAUGAUGGAUCAGAUACUUGGGGAGAUUCCGCAAGCCUUCUAGGGGGCCAGACAGGCUCAGCAGUCCGUCCACCCACAGCCCAUCCUCUGUUCGCAUGUCUUCAAAGGGAGCGCAGGAGAUGCCACCUGCACCCCCCGCCCCGAUCCUCCUCCUGACACUUUGGACCACUUGGAGGAUUCCAGACCAGUCGCCGUAUUCACUCCCUGCAGACCAGCUCCCCAGGAGCAUCUCAAAGUAGGGUGUGGCUGGCCGGACGCGGAUGGGUCCUUGGCUGUGUCCGCGGACGCUCAGGAAGGUGGCCUCAGAGCCGCUGCCUGCCAUCUGUUACCCAUGGGAGCAGAAUGAAAAUGUUGGGUCAGAGUGAAGGACCCACGGGGAACACCCCAAAAUGCCAGCCCCGCUUGCCCCGGCUGCUUGUUUUCCUCUUUUCCAGAUGUUUUGCACCUGUGUCUGAAUCACUUUUACAAUAGACAGGAGUGUAGAAAUGUGAACCAAGCUAGCAGGCCUGAAGGGGCCGCAGCAGCAGCCUCAGGGAAGUAGGCACCACGAUGGAGGCCUGGCAUUGCCUCAAGCGGGGUGGGUGAAGUGGGUGGCGGGAGGCUCAUGGAGCACGGGGCCAGCUCUCCCUCGGGAGCAGCCGACACCAGGCUCUGCACUCACUUUUAUUCCAUGCAGUUCACGCAUUUGCCACGAUCACCUUAGUAAGUGGCUGUCACUAACCUCUUUACCCAAUGAGGAAAUGAAGUUCAGAGAGGGUUGGCGACUUACCCAAGAGCCACCGCCAGGAGGAGAGGCCGGGAUGGAGCCCAGGUCCUUAGACUCCUGACCUCGCUCUUGGCCGAGUGCCCACUGGGCAUGUGGGAUGCAGCAGGAGUCAGGGUCCCAGCACCCCGGAGCCCUCCUGGCAGGCCACGCCAGGCCUUAGACACACAGGCAUGCCAUAAGACGAGGCUGGUCGUCAGUCUGAGGACGUGUGGAAGUGUGAGCAUCCACGGAAAACGGAGGGUAGAGCUCAGCCUUUGAAGCACUGGGAAGGGCACUGGGCCUGCGACCCCAA
rnacentral:lncRNA from 1 species